rnacentral:lncRNA from 1 species
CCUGACCUUGCUUAUCACCGAGAGGCAGCAGAAGCACUGCCUGGCCUUCAGCCCCAAGACCAUAGCAGGCAUCGCCUCAGCUGUGAUCCUCUUUGUUGCUGUGGUUGCCACCACCAUCUGCUGCUUCCUCUGUUCCUGUUGCUACCUGUACCGCCGGCGCCAGCAGCUCCAGAGCCCAUUUGAAGGCCAGGAGAUUCCAAUGACAGGCAUCCCAGUGCAGCCAGUAUACCCAUACCCCCAGGACCCCAAAGCUGGCCCUGCACCCCCACAGCCUGGCUUCAUAUACCCACCUAGUGGUCCUGCUCCCCAAUAUCCACUCUACCCAGCUGGGCCCCCAGUCUACAACCCUGCAGCUCCUCCUCCCUAUAUGCCACCACAGCCCUCUUACCCGGGAGCCUGAGGAACCAGCCAUGUCUCUGCUGCCCCUUCAGUGAUGCCAACCUUGGGAGAUGCCCUCAUCCUGUACCUGCAUCUGGUCCUGGGGGUGGCAGGAGUCCUCCAGCCACCAGGCCCCAGACCAAGCCAAGCCCUGGGCCCUACUGGGGACAGAGCCCCAGGGAAGUGGAACAGGAGCUGAACUAGAACUAUGAGGGGUUGGGGGGAGGGCUUGGAAUUAUGGGCUAUUUUUACUGGGGGCAAGGGAGGGAGAUGACAGCCUGGGUCACAGUGCCUGUUUUCAAAUAGUCCCUCUGCUCCCAAGAUCCCAGCCAGGAAGGCUGGGGCCCUACUGUUUGUCCCCUCUGGGCUGGGGUGGGGGGAGGGAGGAGGUUCCGUCAGCAGCUGGCAGUAGCCCUCCUCUCUGGCUGCCCCACUGGCCACAUCUCUGGCCUGCUAGAUUAAAGCUGUAAAGACAUAACUCAUAUCAGUCGCAUCAUUGGACCCAUCCACACCUUCCAGGAACACCGCCUUCAGCUGGGCCCAGACUGUUGCCCACUCCAUAUUCCAAAAGUAGGGGAGGGCCAGCACCAGCAUCGGAGCACAGCACCAUCCUCACCCCCAUCCACAAGCAGACCAAGGCGGACUGUUCCUGGCUUCCUAAAGGCUUCCUAAAGACAAUGAGGUACUCCAGCCCCACUGCAGCCUCAGGCUUUGCUCUCCUGCCCUGCCCGCUCAGACCUCUGGGAUCCUGCAGCCCAGCUGGGUUCUGGAUAUGGCCGUUGUGCUGACCAUGCCCCCAGGGCCUUCUGCCACCCACAUACUCUUGAGGAUUAUCUCUUGUCACGCAGCCUGGAAGAUGUGUCGCUGGUUGUGGAAGCGGAGCUCGGUCAGCGUGUUGUUCUGGAGGAGGGCCCGGAAGAUGGCCAGGAUGCCUUUGCCUGUGAUGUGGUUGGAGUCCAGGUUGAGGCUGGUGAUGGUCUUGUUGGCCUUGAGCAUGAUGGCAAUGGCAAAGGCCACGUGGUCAUCGGCUCGCGUGUUGGCCAAGGCGAACAGCUUAACCACAGUGUUGAACUCCAGAGCCUCAGUAAACCGGACCAAGA